rnacentral:tRNA from 1 species
GGCUCAUUAGCUCAGCUGGUUAGAGCGUCGUGCUAAUAACGCGAAGGUCGCGGGUUCGAUCCCCUCAUGAGCCA